rnacentral:lncRNA from 1 species
UAGCAGGGUCAGUCCCCAUGAUCCCUGCCGCAGUACUGGCAGAUCUUCCCACGUGCUGCCCCCAUAGCCUGAGGAGGGGCCUGGACGGCAGGUCUGGGCCUCUUACUGGGUUGGACAAGCAUGGUAGGCGCUGGCCUGCGGAGCGGGGCUGAGGGUCGGGAACUUCCCGCUAGCUGAGGGCGGGUGUCGAAGCUCAUUUCUAUGAUCUGCACCUUUGCCAAGACUGCCGAAUAU